CAAGCGACGCUUGUGGUGCGGCGCAGCUCCACCUACUGGCAGUUUCGCGAAAUUAUAUUGCUAUGCACAAGUUCACAAGACGAGCAAUGAGGACGUCUCAAAAACCCGUUUUUUCGGCGAUGUUCUGAAGUAACGGUCUGAAAGCCGGACUUGUCUGUCAAGGGCUUUGAUCGCGAGCGUGUGCCCGCCACAACCUGCCGUAUUGGAUAUAUAAUACAUCUUCAUGAGUAGCGCUACUUUGGCGUCACGAUGUCUUGGAAAGCUUUCUGUGUCUGUGUUUUGCUGUUUUUUGAAAAAACGAGAUCUGCAGUGUUCCCGACAGAGUACUUUCCACCCAGACAAUCAAGAGUAGACGCACACUCGACGUCUGAUCGUCCCUGGAUUUCUCCAGCAUACCAAGAGUGGUACAAGAGGGCGACGGGAUACAGUGUGUCAGAAAGACGCCAGAGUGCAUUCAGCUCAAUCUGGAAACAUUACGCUUCCGUUCUACACGGGAUUAAUACAAUUUACCAAAGCCUUGAAUCUCACCGAAUAUUUAUUGGUAUCAAGCUAGUUGAUAUUCAAGUCGUCGGGCCCGAAGCCAUAUGGAAGUCUUCAUAUUCUUAUACACGAAGAGGAAAAGCCAAAAACGUCAUAGCGUCCGAAGUGGCGCUGGACAAUUUUUACCGCUGGUGCCAAAAGCAGACAUCUUUACCGUCUUUUGACCACGCCCUGCUUAUAACGGGAUAUGAUCUCAUGCAAAAUGGAGACACAACAAAAUCAGGUAGAGCCUAUCUCGGAACGAUAUGCACGGCGGAAAGUGUCUCGAUAGUCGAAAACGAUUUCAGCUCAGAAAUUAUACAAAUAUCAGCUCAUGAACUAGGACAUAGUCUGGGAGCUAAGCACGAUGGGGAGUUUAACCGCUGUCAUGACGUAGACGGCUUUUUAAUGGCGUCCGUUCAGGAGAUCAACUCAACCAAUCGCUGGAGCUUUUCGUCGUGUUCCGUGGAAUAUAUACAAACCAAGCUGUAUUAUCUAAAAAGAAAGGGAAAUAACUGUCUCCAGAGGACUGAUCACACGAUAUCGAGUUCACCAAUCGGAGGAGGAGGCGGCGGCUACAUGUCACUGGGUCAGCUCUACACCCCGGAUGAACACUGUCAGCUCAUAGAGGGGAAGGACUCAUAUUUUUGCAGGGAUUUCUACUCGAAUGCCGCGGACUACAGCCAUAUUUGUUUCAACAUGUGGUGUCACGUGGCAGACUACAAGAGAAACAUCUGUAACAAUUACGAAGGGUCGGACGGUUACAUCUGCGGUAACAAGAAGAUUUGCAGAAAGGGCGCAUGCGUGUUUGACAAGGACGUUCCCGCUGUCUUAGAUUUCUGCCCGCAAGGUGAUCAGCCAGGAAUCAUAUGGAACAAUUAUACCUGCGCAGAACUGGUGCGCCAUGAACCGGAAAUGUGCUAUGACAGAAAUACACGCGUUCGCUGCUGUCAGUCAUGUUAUUCCAUCAAUACGCAAGUUCAAGGCUGUGAAUAUGGAGACAGGAGUUCCUGGUGCAGGACGGAUCUGGUGAUUCCAACCGGUUGCUAUAGCAACGAGCAGCUGUGCUGUGAAACGUGUAGCAAGUUAAAGGACCUUGCCAACCCAACUUGCCCGUUUGGAGACAAAAGCACGUGGUGUAUGGCGUCACUAAAGCCGCCAUACGAAUGCUACGACAACGAAGACCUUUGUUGUGGGACCUGCCAGAAAUACCGUAAUUCUUCUAAUAUAGGGUGCGAGUACGGGGACAAGAGCACGUGGUGUCGAAAUGACCUUCAACCUCCACACAACUGUUACAAGAACAGCGACCUCUGCUGUGAAUCAUGCGCCAAGUUCUACAACCCAUCCUUCCCAGGAUGUGAAUACGGGGACAGAAGUAAGUGGUGCACGACCACCAUGGAGAAGCCAUAUGGAUGCUACGUGAACCAGGAAUUCUGUUGUGGAACCUGUGCUAAAUGGUUCAAUGCCUCACAAGAUGUGAGUAUGGUGACAAACACGUGGACUGUUCUGUUAUACAGUACCCUAUAGGUUGCUAUGACAACGAAAACCUGUGCUGCAGAACGUGCGCCAUGAUGAAAAACGCGGAUAUACCAGGCUGUGAGUUCGGAGACAGAUCUACCUGGUGUGAGACCGAUUUAAACCCCCAGUAUGAUUGUCACCUGAACAAAAAACUCUGCUGUGACACCUGCAAACUUGGUGAUCUGUACGGUGGGCAGAGUGGUUACU
rnacentral:misc_RNA from 1 species